ACGGAAGGCAGCAGUGGGGAAUAUUGCACAAUGGGCGCAAGCCUGAUGCAGCAACGCCGCGUGAGGGAAGACGGUUUUCGGAUUGUAAACCUUUGUCUUUGGUGAAGAAGAAAGUGACGGUAGCCAAGGAGGAAGCCACGGCUAACUACGUGCCAGCAGCCGCGGUAAUACGUAGGUGGCAAGCGUUGUCCGGAAUUACUGGGUGUAAAGGGAGCGCAGGCGGGACUGCAAGUUGGAUGUGAAAUACCGAGGCUCAACCUCGGAGCUGCAUCCAAAACUGUAGUUCUUGAGUGAAGUAGAGGUAGGCGGAAUUCCGAGUGUAGCGGUGAAAUGCGUAGAUAUCAGGAGGAACACCGGUGGCGAAGGCGGCCUGCUGGACUGUAACUGACGCUGAGGCUCGAAGGCGUGGGGAGCAAACAGGAUUAGAUACCCUGGUA
rnacentral:rRNA from 1 species